GAUGAAGAACGCAGCGAAAUGCGAUAAGUAAUGUGAAUUGCAGAAUUCAGUGAAUCAUCGAAUCUUUGAACGCACCUUGCGCCCUUUGGCCAUUCCGAAGGGCAUGCCUGUUUGAGUAUCAUGAACACCUCAACUCUUUAUGGUUUUCCAUGAUGAGCUUGGACUCUGGGGGUUUUGCUGGCUCACAGUCGGCUCCUCUAAAAUGAAUCAGCUUACCAGUGUUUGGUGGGUAUCAUGGGUGUGAUAACUAUCUACGCUUGUGGUUUUUCCACCAGGUAACCUUCAGCAGUGGAGGUUCGCUGGAGCUCAUAGAUGUCUCUCCUCAGUGAGGACAGCCCUUUGAAUGUUUGAUCUCAAAUCAGGUAGGACUACCCGCUGAACUUAAGCAUAUCAAUAAGCGGAGGAA
rnacentral:misc_RNA from 1 species